AGUGAACGCUGGCGGUAGGCCUAACACAUGCAAGUCGAACGGCAGCACAGUAAGAGCUUGCUCUUACGGGUGGCGAGUGGCGGACGGGUGAGGAAUACAUCGGAAUCUACUUUUUCGUGGGGGAUAACGUAGGGAAACUUACGCUAAUACCGCAUACGACCUACGGGUGAAAGCAGGGGAUCUUCGGACCUUGCGCGAUUGAAUGAGCCGAUGUCGGAUUAGCUAGUUGGCGGGGUAAAGGCCCACCAAGGCGACGAUCCGUAGCUGGUCUGAGAGGAUGAUCAGCCACACUGGAACUGAGACACGGUCCAGACUCCUGCGGGAGGCAGCAGUGGGGAAUGUUGGACAAUGGGCGCAAGCCUGAUCCAGCCAUACCGCGUGGGUGAAGAAGGCCUUCGGGUUGUAAAGCCCUUUUGUUGGGAAAGAAAAGCAGCAGGUUAAUACCCCGCUGUUCUGACGGUACCCAAAGAAUAAGCACCGGCUAACUUCGUG
rnacentral:rRNA from 1 species